AGAGUUUGAUCCUGGCUCAGGACGAACGCUGGCGGCGCGCCUAACACAUGCAAGUCGAACGAGCGAGAGAGAGCUUGCUUUCUCGAGCGAGUGGCGAACGGGUGAGUAACGCGUGAGGAACCUGCCUCAAAGAGGGGGACAACAGUUGGAAACGACUGCUAAUACCGCAUAAGCCCACGGCUCGGCAUCGAGCAGAGGGAAAAGGAGCAAUCCGCUUUGAGAUGGCCUCGCGUCCGAUUAGCUAGUUGGUGAGGUAACGGCCCACCAAGGCGACGAUCGGUAGCCGGACUGAGAGGUUGAACGGCCACAUUGGGACUGAGACACGGCCCAGACUCCUACGGGAGGCAGCAGUGGGGAAUAUUGCACAAUGGGGGAAACCCUGAUGCAGCGACGCCGCGUGGAGGAAGAAGGUCUUCGGAUUGUAAACUCCUGUUGUUGAGGAAGAUAAUGACGGUACUCAACAAGGAAGUGACGGCUAACUACGUGCCAGCAGCCGCGGUAAAACGUAGGUCACAAGCGUUGUCCGGAAUUACUGGGUGUAAAGGGAGCGCAGGCGGGAAGACAAGUUGGAAGUGAAAUCCAUGGGCUCAACCCAUGAACUGCUUUCAAAACUGUUUUUCUUGAGUAGUGCAGAGGUAGGCGGAAUUCCCGGUGUAGCGGUGGAAUGCGUAGAUAUCGGGAGGAACACCAGUGGCGAAGGCGGCCUACUGGGCACCAACUGACGCUGAGGCUCGAAAGUGUGGGUAGCAAACAGGAUUAGAUACCCUGGUAGUCCACACCGUAAACGAUGAUUACUAGGUGUUGGAGGAUUGACCCCUUCAGUGCCGCAGUUAACACAAUAAGUAAUCCACCUGGGGAGUACGACCGCAAGGUUGAAACUCAAAGGAAUUGACGGGGGCCCGCACAAGCAGUGGAGUAUGUGGUUUAAUUCGACGCAACGCGAAGAACCUUACCAAGUCUUGACAUCCUGCGACGCACAUAGAAAUAUGUGUUUCCUUCGGGACGCAGAGACAGGUGGUGCAUGGUUGUCGUCAGCUCGUGUCGUGAGAUGUUGGGUUAAGU
rnacentral:rRNA from 1 species